AACUGAUACUACCUGCGGGAACCUGCGGAAGGAUCAUUAUUCAAAACAAAAGCAGUGGCUCCUCGAGAGAGGAGUUCUCACUCUCCACCGUUUCUUGUGUGCACCGUUUUCGUACCCUGGCGGUCGGGAUCGGGUCUCUCUCAAACUCAGUUGGGUUUGGGUCAGGUCACGACCCCGGUCAGUGGACCUUAGGUCCGCCGUGGACAAUCCGCCAAACCCUCGGCCUUUGUGCCAGCUGUC
rnacentral:misc_RNA from 1 species